rnacentral:rRNA from 1 species
CCUACGGGGGGCUGCAGUGGGGAAUAUUGGACAAUGGGGGCAACCCUGAUCCAGCCAUGCCGCGUGUGUGAAGAAGGCCCUCGGGUUGUAAAGCACUUUCAGUGAGGAAGAACGCCUGGUGGUUAAUACCCAUCAGGAAAGACAUCACUCACAGAAGAAGCACCGGCUAACUCCGUGCCAGCAGCCGCGGUAAUACGGAGGGUGCGAGCGUUAAUCGGAAUUACUGGGCGUAAAGCGCGCGUAGGUGGCUUGAUAAGCCGGUUGUGAAAGCCCCGGGCUCAACCUGGGAACGGCAUCCGGAACUGUCAAGCUAGAGUGCAGGAGAGGAAGGUAGAAUUCCCGGUGUAGCGGUGAAAUGCGUAGAGAUCGGGAGGAAUACCAGUGGCGAAGGCGGCCUUGUGGACUGACACUGACACUGAGGUGCGAAAGCGUGGGUAGCAAACAGGAUUAGAUACCCCUGUAGUC